rnacentral:rRNA from 1 species
UACGUAGGUGGCGAGCGUUGUCCGGAUUUACUGGGCGUAAAGGGAGUGUAGGCGGAUUUUUAAGUGAGAUGUGAAAUACUCGGGCUCAACUUGAGUGCUGCAUUUCAAACUGGAAGUCUAGAGUGCAGGAGAGGAGAAUGGAAUUCCUAGUGUAGCGGUGAAAUGCGUAGAGAUUAGGAAGAACACCAGUGGCGAAGGCGAUUCUCUGGACUGUAACUGACGCUGAGGCUCGAAAGCGUGGGGAGCAAACAGG